rnacentral:rRNA from 1 species
GACUCUCGGCAACGGAUAUCUUGGCUCACGCAUCGAUGAAGAACGUAGCAAAAUGCGAUACUUGGUGUGAAUUGCAGAAUCCCGUGAACCAUCGAGUUUUUGAACGCAAGUUGCGCCCAAGGCCUUUUGGUUGAGGGCACGUCUGCCUGGGCGUCACACAUCUUGUCA